GAUGAACGCUAGCGAUAGGCCUAACACAUGCAAGUCGAGGGGCAUCACAUGAAGUAGCAAUACGGAUGGUGGCGACCGGCGCACGGGUGAGUAACACGUAUGCAACCUGCCUUCAACAAGGGGAUAACCCGUUGAAAGACGGACUAAUACCCUAUAACACAGGGGUCCCGCAUGGGAAUAUUUGUUAAAGGACAACCGGUUGAAGAUGGGCAUGCGUUCCAUUAGCUAGUUGGCGGGUAACGGCCCACCAAGGCAACGAUGGAUAGGGGAACUGAGAGGUUUAUCCCCCACACUGGUACUGAGACACGGACCAGACUCCUACGGGAGGCAGCAGUGAGGAAUAUUGGUCAAUGGACGCAAGUCUGAACCAGCCACGUCGCGUGAAGGAAGACGGCCCUACGGGUUGUAAACUUCUUUUAUACGGGGAAUAAAGUGCCCCACGCGUGGGGUUUUGCAUGUACCGUAUGAAUAAGGAUCGGCUAACUCCGUG
rnacentral:rRNA from 1 species